UGUGUAGGGGAACCAGGAUUUUUACUUUGAAAAAAUUAGAGUGUUCAAAGCAGGCCUAUGCCCGAAUACAUUAGCAUGGAAUAAUAGAAUAGGACGUGCGGUUCUAUUUUGUUGGUUUCUAGGAUCGCCGUAAUGAUUAAUAGGGAUAGUUGGGGGCA
rnacentral:rRNA from 1 species